rnacentral:rRNA from 1 species
UACAGAGGGGGCAAGCGUUGUUCGGAAUUACUGGGCGUAAAGGGCGCGUAGGCGGCCUGUUAAGUCGAACGUGAAAUCCCUGGGCUCAACCCAGGAACUGCGUCCGAUACUGGCAGGCUUGAAUCCGGGAGAGGGAUGUGGAAUUCCAGGUGUAGCGGUGAAAUGCGUAGAUAUCUGGAGGAACACCGGUGGCGAAGGCGGCAUCCUGGACCGGUAUUGACGCUGAGGCGCGAAAGCCAGGGGAGCAAACAGG